UACGUAGGGACCAAGCGUUGUUCGGAUUUACUGGGCGUAAAGGGCGCGUAGGCGGCAAUUCAAGUCAUCUGUGAAAUCUCCGGGCUUAACCCGGAACGGUCAGGUGAUGCUGUUUUGCUAGAGUGCGGAAGGGGCAAUCGGAAUUCUCGGUGUAGCGGUGAAAUGCGUAGAUAUCGGGAGGAACACCAGUGGCGAAGGCGAUCAUCUGGGACUAACCUGACGCUGAGGAGCGAAAGCCAGGGGAGCAAACGGG
rnacentral:rRNA from 1 species